rnacentral:lncRNA from 1 species
AGAUUUGGGGUGUUUUUGGGGUGUUUUAGGGUGUUUUUGGGGUGUUUCUGGGUGUUUUUGGGGUGUUUUUGGGUGAUUUUGCCCAUUUUUGGGGUGAUUUUGGGUGAUUUGGGGUGUUUUUGGCAGGAAUGGGAGCAGCGGCGGCUGCAGAACAUCGAGCAGAUGAACGAGGAGAUUUGGGGUGUUUUUGGGGUGUUUUUUGGGGUGUUUUUUGGUUGUUUCUGGGUGGUUUUGGGGUGUUUCUGGGUGAUUUCUGGGUGUUUUUGGGGUGUUUCUGGCUGUUUUUGGGGUGUUUCUGGCUGUUUUUGGGGUGUUUCUGGGUGAUUUUUGGGUGUUUUGGGGUGUUUUUGGGUGAUUUGGGGUGUUUUUGGCAGGAAUGGGAGCAGCGGCGGCUGCAGAACAUCGAGCAGAUGAACGAGGAGAUGCAGAAAAUCGCUGAGUACGAGCGGAGCUGCAGGGACGGCUUCCCGGAUCCCAGCCCCAACCCCAGUGCUCCCAGUUCACUCCCAGUCCAUUCCCAGUCCAUUCCCAGUCCAUUCCCAGUUCAUUCACAGUUUGUUUCCCCGUUCCAGGACGGGUUCCCGGAUCCCAGCCCCAAUCCCAGUGCUCCCAGUCCCUCCCAGUUCAUUCCCAGUUUGUUUCUCCCCGUUCCAGGACGGGUUCCCGGAUCCCAGCCCCAAUCCCAGUGCUCCCAGUCCAUUCCCAGUCACUCCCAGUUUGUUUUUCCCCGUUCCAGGACGGGUUCCCGGAUCCCAGCCCCAAUCCCAGUGCUCCCAGUUCAUUCCCAGUCCAUUCCCAGUCCAUUCCCAGUCCAUUCCCAGUGCUCCCAGUCCAUUCCCAGUUCACUCCCAGUCCAUUCCCAGUCACUCCCAGUGCUCCCAGUCCAUUCCCAGUUCACUCCCAGUUCAUUCCCAGUCACUCCCAGUCCAUUCCCAGUCCAUUCCCAGUCCAUUCCCAGUCCAUUCCCAGUUCAUUCCCAGUCCAUUCCCAGUCCAUUCCCAGUUCAUUCCCAGUCCAUUCCCAGUCCCUCCCAGUCCAUUCCCAGUUCACUCCCAGUGCUCCCAGUCCAUUCCCAGUUCACUCCCAGUUCAUUCCCAGUCACUCCNNNNNNNNNNNNNNNNNNNNCUCCCGGAGGCGCGGCCGGAACUGGGGGGGAGCCGAGCUCGGCAAAGCCACGGUGGGGACCCCGAAAUUCCCGGAAUUCCCAAAUUUCCCAAAAUUCCCAAAUCCUGAAAUCCCCAAAUCCCAAUUCCUGA